AGAGUUUGAUCCUGGCUCAGGAUGAACGCUAGCGGCAGGCUUAAUACAUGCAAGUCGAGGGGCAGCAUGAGUGUAGCAAUACAUUUGAUGGCGACCGGCAAACGGGUGCGGAACACGUACACAACCUUCCUAUAAGUGGGGAAUAGCCCAGAGAAAUUUGGAUUAAUACCCCGUAACAUAAUGAUGUGGCAUCACAUUAUUAUUAUAGCUACGGCGCUUAUUGAUGGGUGUGCGGCUGAUUAGAUAGUUGGCGGGGUAACGGCCCACCAAGUCUACGAUCAGUAGCUGAUGUGAGAGCAUGAUCAGCCACACGGGCACUGAGACACGGGCCCGACUCCUACGGGAGGCAGCAGUAAGGAAUAUUGGUCAAUGGACGCAAGUCUGAACCAGCCAUGCCGCGUGAAGGAUUAAGGUCCUCUGGAUUGUAAACUUCUUUUAUCUGGGACGAAAAAAGGCGAUUCUUCGUCACUUGACGGUACCAGAUGAAUAAGCACCGGCUAACUCCGUGCCAGCAGCCGCGGUAAUACGGAGGGUGCAAGCGUUAUCCGGAUUCACUGGGUUUAAAGGGUGCGUAGGCGGGUAGGUAAGUCAGUGGUGAAAUCCUGGAGCUUAACUCCAGAACUGCCAUUGAUACUAUCUAUCUUGAAUAUUGUGGAGGUAAGCGGAAUAUGUCAUGUAGCGGUGAAAUGCUUAGAUAUGACAUAGAACACCUAUUGCGAAGGCAGCUUACUACGCAUAUAUUGACGCUGAGGCACGAAAGCGUGGGGAUCAAACAGGAUUAGAUACCCCGGUAGUCCAA
rnacentral:rRNA from 1 species